UACAGGGGGGGCAAGCGUUGUUCGGAAUUACUGGGCGUAAAGGGUCUGUAGGUGGCCAACUAAGUCAUACGUGAAAUCCCUCAGCUUAACUGGGGAACUGCGUCUGAUACUGGUUGGCUUGAGUGCAGGAGAGGAACGCGGAAUUCCAGGUGUAGCGGUGAAAUGCGUAGAUAUCUGGAGGAACACCGGUGGCGAAGGCGGCGUUCUGGACUGCAACUGACACUGAGAGACGAAAGCCAGGGGAGCAAAC
rnacentral:rRNA from 1 species